CCACAUCCUCCUCUUCAUUUCCCCUCAAACCACACAGACCGAGAGCCUCCAGGCUGCUCGAAUUUGGCCUCGCAACUCCGCGGUACUGCCGCAGUAUAUCGUCGAAUUCGCGACGGUGCCAUCUUCGUCUGUGAGCACGUCCGCGAGGCAGUUUCCGGCGAGCGAUUCCGGACGAACCCGUCGAUCUCCACGUUCCCGUCUUCGCCGAUUUAUAUUUGUCAAAUCAAGCGCCGUUGCCUGCUUCAACAUCGCCAGGGAAUCAUCCUCGAAGAGGCGCGGUUGUAUUCCAGCAAUCCCCAUCUCCUAUUGUGGUUGUGUUGAUUGCGACGAGUGUUUCCGCGAAGAGUGUACCAACUAGUCCUCUCACCAAGG